GUUUUUAUUCUCUUACUACUAGAUAUAGUGGCUAUGCUUAUGGAGUAGAUUCAAAUUGUCAUGAUAUGAAGAGAGAGGGCUUUUCAUGUUCUCUCUCUUACAAAAUGGCUAGACAUACCAUC